rnacentral:rRNA from 1 species
AGAAGCGAAAUAAGGGCACACGGAGGAUGCCUAGGCGGUGGAAGCCGAAGAAGGACGUGCUAAGCUGCGAAAAGCCCGGAGGAGGUGCACAGGACCUGUGAUGCCGGGAUAUCCGAAUGGGAGAACCUGCAUACCUGGAGGGUAUGCGCGAGAGAGGUAAGCCGGCGAACUGAAACAUCUAAGUAGCCGGAGGAAAAGAAAGUAAAAACGAUUCCCUGAGUAGCGGCGAGCGAACGGGGAGGAGCCUAAACCGUAUAUGUGUUAAAGCUGGCGGCGUUGCAUAUACGGGGUAGAGGGAACAUACUGGACUGACGCCAUAAGGUCGAGUAUAUCAUGAUGUAAGCGGAACGCGGUUGGAAAGCCGGACCGUAGGAGGUGAGAGUCCUGUAGGGCGUAAAGUCAUGAUAUCUUGUAUGAGAUCCCGAGUAGCAUCGGACACGAGGAAUCCGGUGUGAAUCAGCGUGGACCAUAUCACGUAAGGCUAAAUACUUCCACCGACCGAUAGAGGAGAGUACCGUGAGGGAAAGGUGAAAAGAACCCUGAGCAAGGGAGUGAAAGAGAAUUUGAAACCGUGUGCUUACAAGCGGUAGGAGCCCUUAGGGGUGACUGCGUGGAUUUUGGUUAAUCAUCCUGCGAGUUAUGAUGUGUGGCGAGGUUAAGUAGAAGCGGAGCCGAAGGGAAACCGAGUCUUAAGAGGGCGCGAGUCGCAUGUCAUAGACGCGAAACCUAGUGAUCUAGGCCUGUCCAGGCUGAAGCUGAGGUAAGACUCAGUGGAGGGCCGAACUCACCGCCGUUGAAAAGUUGGGAGAUGAGAUAGGUCUAGGGGUGAAAAGCCAAUCGAACUAGGAGAUAGCUCGUUCUCUCCGAAAUGCAUUUAGGUGCAGCCUNNNNNNNNNNNNNNNNNNNNNNNNNNNNNNNNNNNNNNNNAGCGGAGCCGAAGGGAAACCGAGUCUUAAUAGGGCGACGAGUCGCAUGUCAUAGACGCGAAACCUAGUGAUCUAGGCCUGUCCAGGCUGAAGCUGAGGUAAGACUCAGUGGAGGGCCGAACUCACCGCCGUUGAAAAGUUGGGAGAUGAGAUAGGUCUAGGGGUGAAAAGCCAAUCGAACUAGGAGAUAGCUCGUUCUCUCCGAAAUGCAUUUAGGUGCAGCCUCGGUUGAAGAUAUGCGGGGGUAGAGCACUGUAUGGCCUAGGGGGCGUAUAGCUUACCGAAGUCAAGCAAACUGCGAAUACCGUAUAUUGUUUACCGGGAGUGAGUCUACGGAUGACAAGGUCCGUGGACGAGAGGGGAACAGCCCAGACCGCCGGCUAAGGUCCCAAAUCAUGUCUAAGUGGGAAAGGAGGUGGAUAUUCACAGACAACCAGGAGGUUGGCUUAGAAGCAGCCAUACCUUGAAAGAGUGCGUAAUAGCUCACUGGUCGAGAGUAUCUGCGCCGAAGAUAUAACGGGGCUAAGACAUGAACCGAAGCCGCGGAAGCGUGGUAACACGUUUGGUAGGAGAGCGUUCUGUAGGCCGUAGAAGGUGUCCUGGAAGGGAUGCUGGAGGUAUCAGAAGUGAGAAUGCAGGAAUGAGUAGCGAGAAGGAGGGCGAGAAUCCCUCCGGCCGGAAGUCCAAGGUUUCCAGGGGAAGGUUUGUCCGCCCUGGGGGAGUCGGGACCUAAGCAUAAGCAGAGCUGCGAAGGCGAAUGGAAAACAGGUUAAUAUUCCUGUACCGCUGUGUACUGACUGAGAGACGGAGUGACGCAGGAAGGUAUGCGGGAAGGCUGACGGAAUAGCCUUUCUAAGGGUGAAGCGUGGACAUAUAGGCAAAUCCGUAUGUUUAAACGUGAGGCCUGAUGGGGAAGUACCAUAAGGUAUAAGCCGCAGAUCCUACACUGCCGGGAAAAACUUCUAUUUAGGGAAAUAGCGCCCGUACUGUAAACCGACACAGGUGGACAGAGUGAGAAACUUAAGGCCGACAGGACAACUCUGGCUAAGGAACUCUGCAAAAUGGCCCCGUAACUUCGGGAGAAGGGGUACCCGUGCUAACUGAAGGGAGAGACACCUGGAGGGGAAGCGGGUCGCAGUGAAGAGUCCCAAGCAACUGUUUACCAAAAACACAGGUCUAUGCUAAGCUGGAAGGCGACGUAUAUGGGCUGACACCUGCCCAGUGCCGGAAGGUUAAGAGGAGGAUUGAGAGAUUCGAAUUGAAGCCCCGGUGAACGGCGGCCGUAACUAUAACGGUCCUAAGGUAGCGAAAUUCCUUGUCGGGUAAGUUCCGACCUGCACGAAUGGUGAAAUGAUUUGGGAGCUGUCUUGGC